UACAGAGGCCUCGAGCGUUAAUCGGAAUCACUGGGCUUAAAGGGUGCGUAGGCGGCGCUGCAAGUGCCUUGUGAAAUCCCAUCGCUUAACGAUGGAACUGCUCGGUAGACUGCAGUGCUUGAGGUUGGUAGGGGCUGCCGGAACUCUAGGUGGAGCGGUGAAAUGCGUAGAUAUCUAGAGGAACGCCCCAAGGCGAAGGCAGGCAGCUGGGCCAAUUCUGACGCUGAGGCACGAAAGCGUGGGGAGCAAACGGGG
rnacentral:rRNA from 1 species